AAGAUGCAAUCAAAUUUGCCGUGCACACGUGUGUCUGUCAUUUUGUAUUUGUGAAUGACAUUUUACAAAUACACAACUAUUAAUCUGCAACUUCCAAUUCAAAACACAAGUGUGUGGAUUGUUGUGUGUGUGUGCAAAUCGAGGGAUUCAGCUGUUCACAUCAGAGCUUCAACUGGUCAGACGGGACUGGUCUCCAGAACAUCAUUUGGCACACUGUUUUCUGCCUUUGUGUUCGAGUGAAACUUUCAGGUCGAAGAAACCCCUUUUAUGUGGUCAGUAGCUGGGCAGGUUUCUAAUAUGUUGUCAUCCACUCUGCAGACUUACAUGCUGAAGAGAUCCCUGCCGACAACAACACUUCAUUUGCAUGCUUUAUUUUAGAAUGUAUAAGAACCUAGUGCUUGCUGUACAGUUUAGAGUUUUCUUUCGAUGACGCCACAGCAAUACAAAGUAUUCUACUUUGAAAACAACUGAAAGUUCUCCCUGGUUUUUUGGGCUCUUCUUAGAAUUUCACAACAGUUUGGUGCCGUGAGCCAGGCUAGUGAAAUUCACAACAGUAGGAUAAAAGAAUCUGACUGUUUAGAUGUCUUACUGACACUGUGUUUCAGCAAGAAUUUACUUAAAUAAAGAUGAUAAUCAUUUUUAUCUACA